AUCUUGGAUCCUGGCAGGUUAUCAGGAAAGUAAGAAUGGAUAAAUGGCGCUACCGAUGUUUGGACCCCGUAGGGCGGAAGAUGUCCCUCCAACCUUGGAACAGAUUCCUAGGAUUAGAAAUAAGAAACUGGACAUACCAGAGCUAUGAAAGCUUUGAGAAAUUUCAAUUUGGAGAUAUGUAGGGAACCAUACCUGAGACUGAAGCUUCCUGGGUGCAUCCUCAUCUUCCGGUAGAUAACCAGAGAGCAAAAGGCAAGCCAAACAAUGCAAGCACCUUUAAAGUCUUGGCUGGCAUCACACCUGCUCACUCUCCGUUGGUUACAGCAAGUCACAGACUCAAGUCCAAGGCAGUUGGACCCCAGUGAACUAUACAACACAGCUGGCAUCCAUGGCCAUUGCUUCCGACGGGGUGCCUUCAACUACAGGGAAAUGACUUCGCAAAAUGGGACUGUGUCUCACAAGAGAACUCCUGAGGCAGGUUCAUUUUGAGGGGUGGGGAGGGGCUAGCAUCUCUGCUCCACUGUCCUCGGAGGUGAUGACUCUCCUGGUCUAAAGACAACCAAAGCAAUCGAAGACACCACAGGUUCAGUUUAAAGAAGCUGACACCUCCUUCUCUGUGGGUGGUGGAGUUUACUUCCAGUCUCUUUGUCUAGAUUCUGCUUCCCAGGUGGC